CGACGUUAUUGCGCAAGGCAGCAACCUGUUCCCAGCAGUCAGUGCUACUAGGUUCCGGCGUUGCGGCUCAGUGGGGCACAGCUCUGCGGACCCAGGAGUUCAGGAUGCAGGCGGGGCUUGUGCUCCGCGCGGGGCAGGGCGUAUGGUGGGCCUCCUCCCGCCCCUACUCGCGCGUUUUGCUCCUCAGUCUCCUUCUCUUGCUGCUUUCAUGGCUUUCAUUGGAGCUUUCUGGACCUUGUGCUUGACGGUACUGCAGGUGCCGUGGGGACACACAAGCUAGUCUGAGAAGCACCCUCCCCCAGGAUCAUGCGGUGCUGUAAGGACUAGCAAAGAUGAAGAUAGAAUGCAAGGUAGAAAGUGCUGGAUGCCUUUAGAAAGCUGCAGGACUGGUGCGAUGGGAGUUGAGUCGUAAGAACCUGUCUGUCCGUAGGACUCAGGAUGCUGCUGAGGCCCUGGGCUUCCAUGGUAGAUUUGAAAACUCACCCUUGUAGAGUCAUGGUGUCCAGCCUUUGAGAGGACUGCCUUUUAAGUCUGCAGGCGCUGAGCCCCCGGAGGAGGAGGGGCGGGGCCAAGGCCUCCUCCCAGCCCGGCUUUGCAGAGCAGAGAUCUGAUGUCUGGAGUCUACAGAAGCACUUGCAGAACUGAUCAGAAGCCACCCCGCUUAUCGGCAGAUCUUAGGAGAGUGUUCGGUGGAGGCCCUGCAGGUCUGCGCAGCUCACCUCCCUGGGAACUGCUCGCCUGUGCGUCGGAGCCGGCGCUGGCACCCUGCAGUCAGAAAGUUGCAGCCGCGGGAGCCCCGGAUGCCUAGGACGCAAGGCUCUUGCUCUUGCAGAAUCCACAGGUCUUUCUUGAAGAAAUCUGUAGUCAGAACUUUGUGCUGCAUUUUUAUCUAGGGAAGGAACAGGACAAGAGUGUGGUCUCCUAGAAAUCUAGCACUGGAGAAACACUGGUCUCGAACUCCUGACCUCGUGAUCCACCCGCCUCAGCCUCUCAAAGUGCUAGGAUUACAGACAUGAGCCACCAUGCCCAGCCUUGCCUCUUGGCUGUUACCAAAGGAUGUUUGCUUCCAAAGAAGCUGGAAGAUGCAGCCCCAGUGAGCCUUUGCAGGGGAGCAAGAGAGCCACAGGCUGGAGUGCAGUGAUGUGAUCAUAGCUCACUGC